UGCGGUGGGUCCCGGCUGCUCUCAGCCCUCACCCAGCCCGGCCCGGAGCACCCGGCUCUUCCUCCGAUUUGCAAUUCAGUCCGGUGUUAUUCUGGCAAGAGAAAAAACAAGCAGCUCUACCAGGUGCGCGUUUGUGUCAUUCGUGGGCUAAUGAACUUGCCAUUGCCAGCCCUGCCCUGCUAUUUGCAACUACAGUGCUGGGGUAGAGCUCAAUUAACAACGCUGCAAAGCAGCACCGCUUCCAUAAUUAAUUACCUCACUCCCACUCGCAGAUAACAUCGCUUUCGUCCCCCCCCCUCCCUCGAGUCAUAGGCGGGCAGUAAGGAGCUGUACGCGAACAGGCCGAUAUCUACCGCAAAACCUUGCCAAAACUAAAGACAUCACCCUUCAAAAUAAUAAUAGUAAUAAAUGCUCGGCGGAUUUUUGCUGUGGGGACACCCGGUGCCUCCGGGGCAGGGGAAGGAUUGGAGCCGGGGCCGCUUGAGGAUGGCAGGGCUGGGGGCUGUUGUCACCCUUAAAACAAAAGGACCAUUAUGAAGCCCAUAGAUCAGCAGCAGUAAAAGCUUUCAUAAGGCACAGAUCUCUCUAUGAGGUUAUAACAGCAGUGUUAAUCUUCUAUUCAGUGUUUACAGAGCCAGCUCAUCCGUGGGGUGGGUGGAAGGCAGCCAGCUCGCAAGAGAACGCUCUUUAUUAAAAAAUACGGACUUGUGUUUCUUUUAGCAGUGACCCCGGAGCGUGUCCCGCAUUUCUGGGGGAAGGCGGCUCCUCCGGCCCCGGCCCCGCACCCUCCGGGAGGGGCAGGAGAGGACUGGGGGGGUUACAGCCGCCUUUAGCCGCAUAUGGGGAAGCCCCCUCCCUUAGAGAAAGCCCCUCGCAGGGUUUUGCUGUGCUUCACCCAGUGGAGAGAGUCCUCCCCCCAACUCCCGUGCGAUGCUGCCGCUCCACUCCCGGAGUUUGUAUUUAUUCCUUUAUUUAUUUGUUUGGAGUAAGGAGAAGAGGAGCCGUUCUGUCCUUAUCACCGCGCAGAGACAAGGAGAAAGAAAAGGGCGGAUGGUUGAAAAUAAGGACCAACAGGGGUUGUGCAAAAAGCUCCACUCCCCGACACGUUCAUCCUCGUGCAGUGCGCGUUUUCGGGAGAAAUUCCACCACAGGGUUUUGCUUUUUCUCUCCAUCCUACUUAUCCCAGCCCGUGGGAAGGGAAAACAGUUCCUCGGGACUGCGCACCCGCGGAGACGCUGCCUUUCCCCAGCACUUUCCCCGGUGUUGAGUUCCCAUGGGGUUCUGAUUUCUUUACUGCUGGAGAAAUGGAGAGUUGCAUUGAGUUGGUGGUCCGGGGUAGAAGCUGUGCCGAUAUGCUCUGGAGAUGUCAUUGAAGUAUAAACAGGUGAUUAAAAACAGUUUGUCCCCUUGAAUGAUUGCUUCAGAGCUGUAGGAGUAUUCCCAUCUUCCAAGACCCCCCUGACUCAGUCCUGACUGGGAUCUCUCAUUUGGUUUUAAACAUUAGGCUGUGUUCCUCAGUCCUAAGGAAAUAAAGGCACAUUAAACACCUUGCA
ensembl:lncRNA